rnacentral:rRNA from 1 species
GACGGAGGAUGCAAGUGUUAUCCGGAAUUACUGGGCGUAAAGCGUCUGUAGGUGGUUUGAAAAGUCUACUGUUAAAAAUUGAAGCUUAACUUCAAAGAUGCUGUGGAAACUUUUAAACUUGAGUAUGGUAGGGGUAGAGGGAAUUUCCAGUGGAGCGGUGAAAUGCGUAGAUAUUGGAAAGACCGCCAAUGGCGAAGGCACUCUACUGGGCCAUAACUGACACUGAGAGACGAAAGCUAGGGGAGCAAAUGGG